rnacentral:rRNA from 1 species
AGUGAACGCUGGCGGUAGGCCUAACACAUGCAAGUCGAACGGCAGCACAGUAAGAGCUUGCUCUUACGGGUGGCGAGUGGCGGACGGGUGAGGAAUACAUCGGAAUCUACUUUUUCGUGGGGGAUAACGUAGGGAAACUUACGCUAAUACCGCAUACGACCUACGGGUGAAAGCAGGGGAUCUUCGGACCUUGCGCGAUUGAAUGAGCCGAUGUCGGAUUAGCUAGUUGGCGGGGUAAAGGCCCACCAAGGCGACGAUCCGUAGCUGGUCUGAGAGGAUGAUCAGCCACCCUGGAACUGAGACACGGUCCAGACUCCUACGGGAGGCAGCAGUGGGGAAUAUUGGACAAUGGGCGCAAGCCUGAUCCAGCCAUACCGCGUGGGUGAAGAAGGCCUUCGGGUUGUAAAGCCCUUUUGUUGGGAAAGAAAAGCAGCAGGUUAACACCCCGCUGUUCUGACGGUACCCAAAGAAUAAGCACCGGCUAACUUCGU